AACUUUCAACAACGGAUCUCUUGGUUCCCGGCAUCGAUGAAGAACGCAGCGAAAUGCGAUAAGUAAUGUGAAUUGCCAGAAUUCCGUGAAUCAUCAAAUCUUUGAACGCACAUUGCGCCCUUCUGGUAUUCCGGAGGGCAUGCCUGUCCGAGCGUCAUUGCAACCCCUCAAGCACG
rnacentral:rRNA from 1 species